rnacentral:rRNA from 1 species
UACGUAGGUGGCAAGCGUUAUCCGGAAUUAUUGGGCGUAAAGCGCGCGCAGGUGGUUUCUUAAGUCUGAUGUGAAAGCCCACGGCUCAACCGUGGAGGGUCAAUGGAAACUGGGAGACUUGAGUGCAGAAGAGGAAAGUGGAAUUCCAUGUGUAGCGGUGAAAUGCGUAGAGAUAUGGAGGAACACCAGUGGCGAAGGCGACUUUCUGGUCUGUAACUGACACUGAGGCGCGAAAGCGUGGGGAGCAAACAGG